AUGGCAGCUCUCAGCCACCUGCUUGACAACAAGGCGCAGGGUGUUGGGUUCGUUGCCAUGGCCGACGCUCACAGGGGCAAGUGGUAUGCCGUGUUCAUCGGUAAGGUCCCAGGGGUUUAUAGUUCAUGGGAAGAAGUCAGUGCACAAGUGGCAUCGUAUAGCAACAGCACCCAUAGAGGGUUCAAGACUAGGCAGGCAGCAGAACAAGCUUACUCCGACUGGGUGCGAAAGCACGGCAGCACUGUUGACAGUCGCAAGGUUGGAGGUGUCAAGGUGGAUCGCCAGUUUGGGCUGAAGCUGAGGAACUUCAUCAUCUUCGCCCAGUUCAUCGCCAUUAUUGUGCUGUGGCGUUGGUGUGCUAGGUGUGGGUAA
rnacentral:rRNA from 1 species